AUUCAUUAAAGCAAAUUAUCCCCUACACUAAUAGUAGGAAUAAGUGAAGACAAUAACAGAGACUUAAUGGAAGAACUUGUUGACAUCAUCCAAAAUUUUACAGAAACAAUAUUACACGACAAGAUAAAACAUAACAUUUAUCCGCCUAAAUCUCCUUCUUCAUGGAAUAUUUGGAAACUGUGAGAAUUUCCACGUCAUAACCCAUUUGAUUACUAUCUAUUAAUCAAGUCAAACCCUUCCCUUCACAUUCCAUUCCGCACUACCUUUUGCAUUGCAUAUCGCCACUGUCAUCAAAUAUGUAGUUCUUCUUCAUCAUUGAGGCAAACUUGAGAUUCAAACAUGUUUGACAUAUCUUAUACUCCUUCGUUUAUCGCAAGGUUCACUCAGGAAGAGUUACCGGUAGAGGAUUGACCGCUUGAUUCUUCUUUCACAAACCAGUUCCAAAAUCCACAAUUGUCACUGCAGUAAAGAAAUAAUCUCCCUUUUAUUGCUAGUCUCCUUCUGCACCACAAAACACUUCUCGAAUCUAUGCUUGCAUAUUGGACAUUGACGUUUUCGUGGCAUUCUGGGAAAACAUGGUCCUUAGCUCUACAACUACAACAUAUUCCAUAAUUCCUUCCAUCCAUUCUACGACAUUAAUAAACCACGGAUUAGGUCAACUCGAACAAAAGAAAAUUGAGCUUAACAACUCAUACAAACACACGGAACAAAAUAAAAAUGUACAGUAGAUAAACACUGAGCAACCUCGAAAUUAAUCAUAUGACUUAUGCAGUAUAUAAACAUAAGCACUUUCUCCAAUAUGAUUGAAGAUCAUAAAUUUCAGAUUGAAGGGCAACAUGAUAAGCACGACAUUCUUAAUUUAUUUAUUUUCUAUUCACUUCAAUAUCAAGAGGGUAAAAUUCUACAACAAUUUUUGUUCCUCAAAUUUCAAUCAUAUAUGAAAAUGGCAUUUGGAGCAAUUUUGUUGACAAAGCAGUGAAAUUGGGUGAUUUCCAUAUAUACCUGUGCAAAGCAAAUGCGAAAAAAAUGACGAGAGAUAGAAAAACUUGUGGUGCUGAUUUAGCGGGUGGCCGAAAAUGGUGAAGCGGGUGGCAGUGCAACCAUGUCUAGAAGUGUAAUUGGAGCAGAGGUGAAACCUUUGGUUAAUUAUGAUCGGAGAAUCCGAACCAUCAAGAGGCGAAAAAAUCGAUGUACUUGUCGUCGUAGAGGUGGCGACACCUUUUGCUGAAUUGAGGCCGGAGAUGGUAAGUCCAGGUGAGAGUACUGUGUAGAUUUCAAUUUGGGAGAAGGAUUUCGUGGGUGUGGAUUUUCAGACUGAUCUGUCUUUUUAAU
rnacentral:lncRNA from 1 species